AGUGAACGCUGGCGGUAGGCCUAACACAUGCAAGUCGAACGGCAGCACAGUAAGAGCUUGCUCUUACGGGUGGCGAGUGGCGGACGGGUGAGGAAUACAUCGGAAUCUACUUUUUCGUGGGGGAUAACGUAGGGAAACUUACGCUAAUACCGCAUACGACCUACGGGUGAAAGCAGGGGAUCUUCGGACCUUGCGCGAUUGAAUGAGCCGAUGUCGGAUUAGCUAGUUGGCGGGGUAAAGGCCCACCAAGGCGACGAUCCGUAGCUGGUCUGAGAGGAUGAUCAGCGACACUGGAACUGAGACACGGUCCAGACUCCUACGGGAGGCAGCAGUGGGGAAUAUUGGACAAUGGGCGCAAGCCUGAUCCAGCCAUACCGCGUGGGUGAAGAAGGCCUUCGGGUUGUAAAGCCCUUUUGUUGGGAAAGAAAAGCAGCGGGUUAAUACCCCGCUGUUCUGACGGUACCCAAAGAAUAAGCACCGGCUAACUUCGUG
rnacentral:rRNA from 1 species